rnacentral:rRNA from 1 species
UAUAGCUUGCUAUGAUAGAAAUUAGUGGCAGACGGGUGAGUAAUGCAUAGGAAUCUACCUAGUAGUAUGGGAUAGCCACUAGAAAUGGUGGGUAAUACUGUAUAAUCCCUGCGGGGGAAAGAUUUAUCGCUAUUAGAUGAGCCUAUGUUAGAUUAGCUAGUUGGUAGGGUAAAGGCCUACCAAGGCAGUGAUCUAUAGCUGGUCUGAGAGGAUGAUCAGCCACACUGGAACUGAGAUACGGUCCAGACUCCUACGGGAGGCAGCAGUGGGGAAUAUUGGACAAUGGGCGAAAGCCUGAUCCAGCUAUGCCGCGUGAGUGAGGAAGGCCUUAGGGUUGUAAAACUCUUUCAGUGGGGAAGAUAAUGACGGUACCCACAGAAGAAGUCCCGGCAAACUCCGUGCCAGCAGCCGCGGUAAUACGGAGGGGGCAAGCGUUGUUCGGAAUUAUUGGGCGUAAAGGGCAUGUAGGCGGUUCGGUAAGUUAAAGGUGAAAUGCCAGGGCUUAACCCUGGAGCUGCUU